rnacentral:lncRNA from 1 species
CCCCCUUCCUCUGGGUCUCUCUGUUUCUGUCCGUCUUCCUGUUCCUGUCUCUGUGUCUCUGGCCCCUGGGACAGGAGCUGGGGAGCCGGGAAGCUGGAUCGUUGCAGCACCAAAGCACAAGGCAGUUUUGCCUGAUUGGCUUUUUAGUUGUUUUUUGAGGAUUGAAGACUCUGCUGUGAGGUCCAGGCCAGCCAGGGUCUCCGACCGUUCCUGGGGUCAAGCUCCUGGCUGGAAGGGACAGGCACCCUCCUCCCGACUUCGACCUUAGGGGGCUCGGCUGGUCCUGCAGGCGGGGCAGGGACACCCAGGAGCACGGGGCCAGUCCCCCAACCUGGCAGGAACGUGCUGAGAAGGGACGAGGGCCCCACAGCGAGCAUCUGGCGAGGAAGCUGACCUGGACUGGGGAUCCGGGAAGGCUUCCUGGAAGAGGUGACAUAUGGCUGAGCGCGAACGGUCGUCGACGAUGAGGGCCCCGCCGUCCUGGAGCCUCCGACUUCGGGGGUCCCCUCCACACCCUGUUCUGCCCGAGGGACCCCGCGUGCCUUCGGGCCGGCCUGCUUCCGGGUGCCCCAGGGAGGAGCACAGAGCCCAGGAGCACCGCGGCUCCUCCCUCCCCACACGUCAGCUCUGGCUUGUGAAGUUCCAGGAGCCCCGCGACGACGGGCUUGCUGCGCGCCUGCACCGGGCGCCGCGGAGGGGCGGGCGGGCACCCCGGGGUCUCUGUGCACUUGAGAACCAGGGGCCCCGCCUCCCUGCAUUCCUCCCAAAGUGGGGUCCCGCCGGGCGCCCAGCACCGCCGUCAGGGCCCCCCGCGGGGGCUCCCCGGGCCACGGGCCUGCGACGGCGCCACGUGGAGCACGUUGAGACUCCGGAAGGAACGCAGCCUGGCUCCUCUCUCCUUUCUGUCACUUUAAAGACCAAAAAGACCAAAAAGAAAAUGAAAGAAACAGAAACCGGGUCGUGCUCUUGCUUUGUUUAAACUGGAGAGAGCGCGAAGGGGGCAAGCAUAGGGGCGCAGUCGAGCGCUGCGGGUGCGGCCAGGGGUCGGGGUCGCGGGAGGAACGAGGGAGGGCGACCUCCCAGGGCUCCAGGAGGGCAGGCGGGCGGUGGGCUUCGGGGAAGGAGGGACGGUGCGGUCCUCCCUGGCCCUGCCUCCCGCCCGCUCCGUGCUCCAGCAGAGCCUCGGCCCCUGUGUCCGCCGCGGCCGGGAGGCCGGGCCCCCGCGGAGCCUGUGGGUGCAGGGGCUGCCGGGCCCUUUGAGGGGAAAAGUGGCUCCUGUGAGGUGAUGCCCACGUGUGGGGCGGUGCCAGGGCCCAGAGGCAGCUCCCCGGGGAACGCGUGUCAGGCCGCGUGAUGGGGACUCGGGCCCCCGAGCUGGACGCCGUGCGCUGCCCGCACUGGGUGCUCACCUGCCCCCUGCCCGGCCGGGCUCCCAGCCCAGGGCCCGCGGUCGGAGCGGCAAACCCCCCGGGGGGCUGCGAGGUGGCUGCCAGCGUGUGGGGGCCCUGCCCUCGCCCCAACUCUGGAGACCCUGCAGGCAGCCUGGCGCCCGCGCCACCCCCCCCACCCGAUGGCCCCGAGCCGCCUGGACCUGCCUGGGGAGGCGACCCCCGACGUGCGGAGGCCCCGCCGAGAGGCUGGGCCAGAGCCGCG